rnacentral:rRNA from 1 species
CCAAGGAGCCUAACAUGUGCGCGAGUCACUCGGUCUUGAACAGGCCUGAAGGGCGCAAUGAAAGUAAUUUCUCGUACGAUCCCGCGUGUCUGCGGCGGCCUCUUUGCGGAGCGCUCGUCGCAACACCGGGCGCAGUACGGACCCGCCUAAGCUGUUGUCAUGACGGCGUGGCGGAGUUUGAGCGCACAUGUUGGUACCCGAAAGAUGGUGAACUAUGCCUGGGCAGGACGAAGCCAGAGGAAACUCUGGUGGAGGUCUGUAGCGAUUCUGACGUGCAAAUCGAUCGUCAGACCUGGGUAUAGGGGCGAAAGACUAAUCGAACCAUC